AUUGAACGCUGGCGGCAGGCCUAACACAUGCCAGUCGAACGAGAGGCGGAAGGGUGAGUAAUGUAUGGGAAACUGCCUGAUGGAGGGGGAUAAAUACUGGAAACGGUAGCUAAUACCGCCUACAUUCCGAUGUGCCCAGAUGGGAUUAGCUUGGUGGUGGGGUAACGGCUCACAAAGGCGACGAUCCCUAGCUGGUCUGAGAGGAUGAACAGCAAGACUGGAACUGAGACACGGUCCAGACUGCUACGGGAGGCAGCAGUGGGGAAUAUUGGACAAUGGGCGCAAGCCUGAUGCAGCCAUGCCGCGUGUAUGAAGAAGGCCGUAGGGUUGUAAAGUACUUUCAGCGGGGAGGCGUUACCCACAGAAUAAGCACCGGCUAACUCCGUGCCAGCCGCCGCGGUAAUAC
rnacentral:rRNA from 1 species